rnacentral:rRNA from 1 species
AACGAACGCUGGCGGCAUGCCUAACACAUGCAAGUCGAACGAGACCUUCGGGUCUAGUGGCGCACGGGUGCGUAACGCGUGGGAAUCUGCCCUUGGGUUCGGAAUAACAGCGAGAAAUUGCUGCUAAUACCGGAUGAUGACGUAAGUCCAAAGAUUUAUCGCCCAAGGAUGAGCCCGCGUAGGAUUAGCUAGUUGGUGAGGUAAAGGCUCACCAAGGCGACGAUCCUUAGCUGGUCUGAGAGGAUGAUCAGCCACACUGGGACUGAGACACGGCCCAGACUCCUACGGGAGGCAGCAGUGGGGAAUAUUGGACAAUGGGCGAAAGCCUGAUCCAGCAAUGCCGCGUGAGUGAAGAAGGCCUUCGGUGUAAAGCUCUUUAUUAGGGUAAGAUAAUGACGGUACCUAAUGAAUAAGACUCCGGCUAACUUCGUGCCAGCAGCCGCGGUAAU